UGACAUUGAGUUAUUCCCUGAGAUGCUUAUGA
rnacentral:piRNA from 1 species